UACAGAGGUGGCAAGCGUUGUUCGGAAUUACUGGGCGUAAAGGGCGCGUAGGCGGCCCGAUAAGUCCGCUGUAAAAGUCAACGGCUCAACUGUUGAAAGCCGGUGGAUACUGUCGGGCUAGAGUACGGAAGAGGCAAGUGGAAUUCCUGGUGUAGCGGUGAAAUGCGUAGAUAUCAGGAGGAACACCGGUGGCGAAGGCGGAUCUCUGGGCCUUACCUGACGCUGAGGAGCGAAAGCAUGGGGAGCAAACAGG
rnacentral:rRNA from 1 species